UUUGGCUAAGAUCAAGUGUAGUAUCUGUUCUUAUCAGUUUAAUAUCUGAUAUGUGGGUCAUUGGUCCACACGAUAUUAAAUUACUUUUUUAAAGGGGAGAGGCCAAGACAGUAGCUUGCUACUGGGUCUCUCAUGUGUCGCCCAUGCGUUGCACUAUAGCUUUGGGCUUGGCACUCCCUCCGAUAAA
rnacentral:snRNA from 1 species